rnacentral:lncRNA from 1 species
CUCCUUAGCGAAGAUUCCAUCGUGUUCUGUAACACAUGAUGAAGCAUUUUCCGCGUUAUAAUGUGACAAUGGCCCUACUGAGCACAACAAUUUGAGUCUGAAUGUGCCAGAGUCAGAGGAGAAAUCUGAAGAGUUGCAGUAAUGACCAAGACAAAGGACAUGUCAAGACUAUCGUCCCCAGGAAAGAGACAAUCUUGAGAGAUCCUGCCCAGCUCGGGGGCACCUGAGCUCCCAGGAUGCCCAGGCUGCCGCACAAGGGGCUUUCUAUAUUCCCUGGAGUCCCACAUCACAUCACUUCUCCAGCGGGAGGGCUUUUGGGCAACUGUUUUGACCGGGUUGGCUGUCAGUGCAGAGGAGCAGCUUGCAGCUCAAUCUAGUUAUGGGCUUGAAGGAGGAGGACAGAAGCAGGCAACAUCUGUUGAGCCACGUCUGUGCAAAUAUGCAUUCGUUCAUUUUAUCCUCGCAGCACCUUUGUUUUUUGGAGACAGAGUUUUGCUCUGUUGCCCAGGCUGGAGUACAGUGGCAUGAUAUCAGAUCACUGCAAGCCCUACCUCCCAGAUUCAAGUGACAGCCAUUGAACAAUCUCCUAGGAUUGGAAUCUCAGAUGCCUACAAGGGCCAUGCUUUUCUCAAGACUUGAGGAAGAGGCGGGGACCACUGCCGCCCACAAAUGCCCUUCUAGAAGGACCCAGCUGUAGGAGUGGUAGCUCCUGGCACUACGGGCAGUUGCAAGCCUGGUGUAUACAGCUUUGGAUUUUUUUCCAAAGGAUUCCAGAAACAAGGAUUUUUAUGCAAACUCUCCCAAUUUAAAAACAUGACAGCUAUUCAAUUUUCUUUUCAAUCGUAUGAGCCAAAUAAAGUAUGUCCAUGAGCCUGAUUUGGUCUGAGCCUUCUUUUUUUAAAAUUAUUUAAUUAUUUAUUUAUUUUUUGAGAUGGAGUCUUGC